GACGAACGCUGGCGGCGUGCCUAAUACAUGCAAGUCGAGCGAAUGGAAGGGAGCUUGCUCCCUGAAGUUAGCGGCGGACGGGUGAGUAACACGUGGGCAACCUGCCUGUCAGACUGGGAUAACUUCGGGAAACCGGAGCUAAUACCGGAUACGUUCUUUCCCCGCAUGAGGAACGAUGGAAAGAUGGUUUCGGCUCUCACUUACAGAUGGGCCCGCGGCGCAUUAGCUAGUUGGUGGGGUAAUGGCUGACCAAGGCGACGAUGCGUAGCCGACCUGAGAGGGUGAUCGGCCACAGUGGAACUGAGACACGGCCCAGACUCCUACGGGAGGCAGCAGUAGGGAAUCUUCCGCAAUGGACGAAAGUCUGACGGAGCAACGCCGCGUGAGCGAAGAAGGCCUUCGGGUCGUAAAGCUCUGUUGUCAGGGAAGAACAAGUGCCAGAGCAACUGCUGGCACCUUGACGGUACCUGACCAGAAAGCCACGGCUAACUACGUGCCAGCCGCCGCAGUAAGAC
rnacentral:rRNA from 1 species